GCAGGACCACCUAGACAUGAGGAGUCUCCUUCUGCAGCAGAGGUAUGCAAUCUGCCUUACUAUCCUUAAAGGUGCCUUGUCCUGGUUCCCUUCGGGACAAAUUCCAAGUUGCUAUUUGGCUUUGGAAUACAACUAUGCACCAAAGGUGAGAGAAUCCAUUAUCCCCGAAGACAGGAGGGAGAACAUGAUGUCCUGGUGUGGGACAGGGAAAGUGAGUUUCUUUUCUUUAUCCCAUAAGCUCUCUGUCAGCCAUCCUGCCUCUGAUGUGUGUAUGCGUGUGCGUGCUUUUAUUUCUACAUGAACACAAAUUGCUCUAAUUAGGAGGGAGGAUUCUUGUAUUUUUAUAUGCUAAGCCAUUUUGAUUAAUUACUUUAAUAAAAUGACAGACAGAUGAACUCUGGAAUUCACUGCCAUCUGCUCCAGUACAGUUCACUAUCACCGAUACGAAGGUGUCGGCCUUCAGAUAAACCCUAGUGUUUAGAGUAACCACUCCAUUGAAUAAGUACUUGUGCCAUGUGGAUGUAUUGAUCCUUGUGAACAUCUGCAACUAUUCCUCUGUAAAAGCUAUGGGUUUGAUCCAUGUGGCUCUGUAUCAGCCUUUUUAUUAUCUACCAAGAACAGAUGUGUGUGCAUAUAUGCAAGAACAAACCAUAUUGCUGUGUCUGGGGGUGUGUGACCCUGGGGUAGAUAUUACAGAUGUUUAUUGUCUAGCGUACCCUUUGGUGUAAAACCUCUCCCUGCCUGUCCAGGAAGAAAGCAGUCCUGUGGCUCAGGUUGAGAUGGUUUGUUGUAUUAGAAGGGUGACACAAUAGGAUGCUCUCUUUCUUCCCUUCUCUCAUGGAAAUGUAUAUUUGUUCUUUCUUCGUGUAACUUCUCAACCUGAAAUAAAAAUCACUCCGAAUAGAAUUCACGUUUCCAUCUUUGUUUGGAGAACAUCCAGAGUUUUAGCUGGGUCAGCCUUCCAUAAGCAGCUGUUGCCUUGCUGGACCGGGCUUUUUGUCUCUGUCACCAAGCAAGCUCUCUGUGACUCCUUUGGGAAUGCCCCUUAAUGAGAACUCACCUCCUGUAUGAA